rnacentral:snoRNA from 1 species
UUGGGGACCCCGUGAUGUCCAGCACUGGGCUCUGACUGCCCCUGAGGACACGGUGCACCCCGGGACCUUUGACAUCCGGGGUUCUGAGGGGCCCCAC